UCCUAUGAUGGCAUGGAAUCUUUGAGACCUGAUCUUAAAUUUUUGAUGAAAAUUAUAAGCAUAGAUCGCUGAGGAU